GAUGAACGCUGGCGGCGUGCCUAACACAUGCAAGUCGAACGAAGCACCUUACCUGAUUCUUCGGAUGAAAGUUUGGUGACUGAGUGGCGGACGGGUGAGUAACGCGUGGGUAACCUGCCCUGUACAGGGGGAUAACAGCUGGAAACGGCUGCUAGUACCGCAUAAGCGCACGAGGAGACAUCUCCUUGUGUGAAAAACUCCGGUGGUACAGGAUGGGCCCGCGUCUGAUUAGCUGGUUGGCAGGGUAACGGCCUACCAAGGCAACGAUCAGUAGCCGGUCUGAGAGGAUGAACGGCCACAUUGGAACUGAGACACGGUCCAAACUCCUACGGGAGGCAGCAGUGGGGAAUAUUGCACAAUGGGGGAAACCCUGAUGCAGCAACGCCGCGUGAGUGAAGAAGUAUUUCGGUAUGUAAAGCUCUAUCAGCAGGGAAGAUAAUGACGGUACCUGACUAAGAAGCGCCGGCUAAAUACGUG
rnacentral:rRNA from 1 species